GCGCUUAUCUUUGAUUCUUCGGAUGAAGAGAUUUGUGACUGAGUGGCGGACGGGUGAGUAACGCGUGGGUAACCUGCCUCAUACAGGGGGAUAACAGUUAGAAAUGACUGCUAAUACCGCAUAAGACCACAGAGCCGCAUGGCUCGGUGGGAAAAACUCCGGUGGUAUGAGAUGGACCCGCGUCUGAUUAGGUAGUUGGUGGGGUAACGGCCUACCAAGCCAACGAUCAGUAGCCGACCUGAGAGGGUGACCGGCCACAUUGGGACUGAGACACGGCCCAAACUCCUACGGGAGGCAGCAGUGGGGAAUAUUGCACAAUGGGGGAAACCCUGAUGCAGCGACGCCGCGUGAGCGAAGAAGUAUUUCGGUAUGUAAAGCUCUAUCAGCAGGGAAGAAAAUGACGGUACCUGACUAAGAAGCACCGGCUAAAUACGUGCCAGCAGCCGCGGUAAUACGUAUGGUGCAAGCGUUAUCCGGAUUUACUGGGUGUAAAGGGAGCGUAGACGGCUGUGUAAGUCUGAAGUGAAAGCCCGGGGCUCAACCCCGGGACUGCUUUGGAAACUAUGCAGCUAGAGUGUCGGAGAGGUAAGUGGAAUUCCCAGUGUAGCGGUGAAAUGCGUAGAUAUUGGGAGGAACACCAGUGGCGAAGGCGGCUUACUGGACGAUGACUGACGUUGAGGCUCGAAAGCGUGGGGAGCAAACAGGAUUAGAUACCCUGGUAGUCCACGCCGUANACGAUGACUACUA
rnacentral:rRNA from 1 species